rnacentral:rRNA from 1 species
GACGAACGCUGGCGGCGUGCUUAACACAUGCAAGUCGAACGGAAAGGCCCUGCUUUUGUGGGGUGCUCGAGUGGCGAACGGGUGAGUAACACGUGAGUAACCUGCCCUUGAAUUUGGGAUAACUUCAGGAAACUGGGGCUAAUACCGGGUAGGAGCUCCUGCUGCAUGGUGGGGGUUGGAAAGUUUCGGCGGUUGGGGAUGGACUCGCGGCUUAUCAGCUUGUUGGUGGGGUAGUGGCUUACCAAGGCUUUGAAGGGUAGCCGGCCUGAGAGGGUGACCGGCCACAUUGGGACUGAGAUACGGCCCAGACUCCUACGGGACGCAGCAGUGGGGAAUAUUGCACAAUGGGCGGAAGCCUGAUGCAGCAACGCCGCGUGCGGGAUGACGUCCUUCGGGUUGUAAACCGCUGUCGCCUGUGACGAAGCGUGAGUGACGGUAAUGGGUAAAGAAGCACCGGCUAACUACGUG